GGUGCUCGCGCACCUGAAAGAGCAGGAACAAGCCUCCCGGCCAGUUGUCUCAAGAGGUUUUCUGCGGAUCUUGGCACUGAAACCCCGUUCUAACCCACUGCGGCCCUCCUGGGUCCUUAGUGAUUUCAGAAGAUCAGAUUAGACUCCUCUGCACGGUGGCUUAGCUAGACAUCCAACAAAGGAAGAGAGAAGGUGGCAUGACUGAAAGCAAAAAAGAGAACAUUAAUACAAAGUCAAUGAAUCCUGAUGCCUCCCAACUCGGUUUUUACAGAUGAGAAGGGAAGAGAACUGAAUGAAGGAGUUGUUUAGCCAGGCUGUGCACCGUCUCUAGAUCCGGAUGGCACACAUAUCCCGUGUUCUCUGCAACCUGACUAAGCAUGGCUAAGAGCCUCUUCACGCAGUCCGUGCAGCUCACAAAGCACUUCCCUAAGAGAUGGAGUU